CGGUAAUACGUAGGGUGCGAGCGUUAAUCGGAAUUACUGGGCGUAAAGCGUGCGCAGGCGGUUAUGUAAGACAGAUGUGAAAUCCCCGGGCUCAACCUGGGAACUGCAUUAGUGACUGCAUAGCUGGAGUACGGCAGAGGGGGAUGGAAUUCCGCGUGUAGCAGUGAAAUGCGUAGAUAUGCGGAGGAACACCGAUGGCGAAGGCAAUCCCCUGGGCCUGUACUGAC
rnacentral:rRNA from 1 species